rnacentral:rRNA from 1 species
UAGGGAAUCUUCCGCAAUGGGCGAAAGCCUGACGGAGCAACGCCGCGUGAGUGAUGAAGGUCUUCGGAUCGUAAAACUCUGUUAUUAGGGAAGAACAAAUGUGUAAGUAACUAUGCACGUCUUGACGGUACCUAAUCAGAAAGCCACGGCUAACUACGUGCCAGCAGCCGCGGUAAUACGUAGGUGGCAAGCGUUAUCCGGAAUUAUUGGGCGUAAAGCGCGCGUAGGCCGUUUUUUAAGUCUGAUGUGAAAGCCCACGGCUCAACCGUGGAGGGUCAUUGGAAACUGGAAAACUUGAGUGCAGAAGAGGAAAGUGGAAUUCCAUGUGUAGCGGUGAAAUGCGCAGAGAUAUGGAGGAACACCAGUGGCGAAGGCGACUUUCUGGUCUGUAACUGACGCUGAUGUGCGAAAGCGUGGGGAUCAAACAGG